AUACGUAGGUGGCGAGCGUUGUCCGGAAUUACAGGGUGUAAAGGGCGCGUAGGCGGGGCUGCAAGUCAGAUGUGAAAUCUGGGGGCUUAACCCUCAAACUGCAUUUGAAACUGUGGUUCUUGAGUGAUGGAGAGGCAGGCGGAAUUCCUAGUGUAGCGGUGAAAUGCGUAGAUAUUAGGAGGAACACCAGUGGCGAAGGCGGCCUGCUGGACAUUAACUGACGCUGAGGCGCGAAAGCGUGGGGAGCAAACAGGAUUAGAUACCCUGGUAGUCCACGCUAUAAACGAUGAAUACUAGGUGUGGGGGGACUGACCCCCUCCGUGCCGGAGUUAACACAAUAAGUAUUCCACCUGGCGAGUACGAUCGCAAGGUUGAA
rnacentral:rRNA from 1 species